CGUGUGCGUCGCUCCGGUAGCCCCGCCUCUUCCGUUUCUGGGACGCCGGCUGCAUAACGUGCCUAGGAGACCCUGGAAGCCCCGUGCCGCUGCUCAUCAUUCCCGGGAGUGACACGUGACUCGGAGCGGAGAUGCCUCCUAAGAAAGUAGAUGAUGGACCAAAGCAGCAUCCUAUCAUUGGACGAUUUGGGACCUCUCUGAAGAUUGGUAUAGUUGGACUACCCAAUGUGGGGAAAUCAACUUUCUUUAAUGUGUUGACUAAAAGCCAGGCUGCCGCCGAGAACUUUCCAUUUUGCACCAUUAAUCCAAAUGAGAGCCGAGUGCCCAUCCCUGA